rnacentral:lncRNA from 1 species
CAUCAUUGAAAAAAAAUUAAAAAAUAAAUAAAAUAAAUAAAAAAUGGUUACCAAAAAAACCAUUUAUUUGGUAGUGCUAAUGAUUCUGGGUUUGAUUGUGAUUGCCCAAAGUGACUGUGUAGAAAAUUGCUAUCCAAAGUGCGUUGAAGAUGUUCGUGAAAAAGAAGGAUGCAAACAUGCAUGUCAAAGAUUUUGCUCCGAAUAUGACGGAAUGUUUUAAUGAUUAAGAGAUAUGUGAUUUUCAUCUACGUUACGUUAUAUUAAAUUUUAUUUUACUAUAUGCUCUCUUUUAUUAAUUUUACUUAAAAGAGAUUUUGUAAAGAAUAUAUAUAUUUAUAAUUUAAAAUAAAAUUUUAGAAAGG